ACGUUUUAGCGUUUUCAUAUUUACGUUCAUAUUUUCCCAAAGGGACAGUUUUGAGUUUUUUCCAGUUAUCAAUUAAAUUUUUCGAUACCAAUAAAUGAUACCAACAAAAGACGACUUUAAAAGCCUUUUGACUCCUACAAUUCCCGGGUCCUUUCAUAGUCCCAGUCCGCCCCUGCACAAUAGAAUCCUUACGUAAGUAGGAAACAUCGCCGGACAACAUUUAUCAAGGAAAAAAGGAAACGUAACCGAGGAAAUUGAAACGAUAUAUUAGACAUCGCGUCACAUUUCGUAUCAUUUUUUAAGACCUUCACGAUAGCGGGUUUUGGCUGCGUACGAUAUCGUCAUCAACACGUUCCAUUCCAUUUGAUCGACUCUGAGAACUAUUGGAUUCUGCCAAAUACGUUUAUUUUAUGGACAAACGCAAAAAAUAAACCAAAAUCUUUUAGAAUGUUUCACAUAAAGAAAUAGGAGAUACUUUAAAAGAGAAUUAACUUCCAGUGGUGUUCGCGUUUUUAAUCUUUCAAAAUCGAUAAAAACUUUAUUACUGCGAUGAAGCUAAGUUGAAAUUAAGUUAGUGGGAAAAGUAAAAAGUUUCCUUUCAACUUGCCUUCAUUAGACUGAAAACUUUUGCGGUAUAAAGUCAAUUAUAAUAGAUCAAAUACUGAUUCUGCAACUAAAGAUUGAGUAAUUAUUACUUUUAUAACGGGGUAGGUAUUAGAAAUAUUCUUCUAUAAAUAUUUAAAAGAAGA